UGUCCACUGAGUUGUUGGGGAAAGAAGGGAAAUUCAUUUCCAAGAAAAGAGAAGAAGCAAUGAGAUAAUGAAGAAACGUGGGUAGUCAAGUUCAAGCGUCUCGUCGUGUAAAAGAGAUAAUCAAGACCUAGGGGAUAACAAGGUCAAGUCAAGGACUCAGAAGGGCAGGAGCUUCACCUGUGUUUGCUGAGCGCAAAGGGGACUUGGCGGCGUGGGAUGGACCUCGCACACACAAAAGCAAACGCAGAGUUGCGGCGAUGCCGGGAUGUGCGCACUAGAUGGCAGUAGCGGGGCCCUUUCGGCUAGGCUCGCGGUCCUAUAAGACGCUGCUUGUUUAAGUACAGUCGCAUUUAGUUGGAGCUGCAGGGGAGUGAGGGAGAGGAGGGUAGGAAGGACGAGAGCGGGAGAGCUUGAGGGAGAAGGGGGCUCGCUGUGUUUACACGAGGCACAGGCUCGAGCGUCCAUCCCGGGCCCUGGCUGGCGCUCUUGCGGAGGGAGCGAAGCUGGGAGAGCCCAGAGGGAAACCGAGGGACACGAGCGGCGUGGUGCACUAGAGAGAGCGCGAGCGGCAGAGGCGAGAGCGGAGCGCGCGAGGGAGCAUCGAGCGCGGCGGAGACAUGAGGACCUACUGGCUGCACAGCGUCUGGGUGCUGGGCUUCUUCCUGUCCCUCUUCUCGCUGCAAGAAUGCUAGUCAUCGUCCUCCUUGAGAGAGUCUCUGGAUUAGUAUCUACUAUUCUAUUUAGUGUUCCAGAAUUCUACUCCAGGUCGAAAUAAUCCAUCAUUUUUCAUAAUGUAUGUGGAAUAUUAUCUAGCAAUUUGUUAUAUGUAUAUGCAUGUAUGGGGAGGAGUGAGAGGCAUUGCUUUCUAAGCUGCAUUUCAGUUUUUACUUUACCCAGAAAACAAAUAAGAUCUCCUGGCUUGAACUUUCUGUGUCCUAUAGCCCUGUAAGAAAUGAAAGACCUUCCCAAACUCUCCAAGAUUUCUAUGAAUGUCCAGGGGACUUUCAUUUCUUGCUCAGUUCUGCAUCUGGAGUCCUGGAAGUUCUCUUUUCUAAACAACAUUUAAUCAAAUGUGAAACUUGUCUCGUUUUCCAAAAGAUCAAUGAGUCAAUCAAAAUAAAAACCAGACAGCAACAACA
rnacentral:lncRNA from 1 species